AUUUCUUCUCUUCAACUCAAACUCAAACUCAAACUUAAACUUAAUCAAAUCCAAACCUCUUUCUCUUUCUCUCUCUAAAUUUUCCUCACCCUCCAUUCCUACCAAUAAUUAAUUUCGUAUUGAAGAUCUCUCUCUCUCUCUCUCUCUCAUUUAGUAUAUAAUGGUCUUAGAGGUCCAACAUCAACGUGAACACCAACCUUUGAUGGUGGGAUAUAGGUACAUGCCAGGUCCUUAUUAGCAAAGCUUCGUCCUGUUGUCCUGCAUUCUCAAUCUCUCCAGCUCUAUUCUCUCAUCAAAUUUCACUUAAUUACCACGUUACUUUCCAUUUUGAAGACAAUAAUCCUUGACCUUAUACAAGCCUCAGGUAAAAUAUUGUGCAGAAGAAGACGGAGCAAAAGGUGUUUUGGCAAAUACGAACAUGAGCCGAAGACCGAAUAGUCCAGAGCUGGACUUGAAGCUGAACUUGUCACCACCAAGGGCAAACUCACCAGAUGAGUCGCCAAAUGUUUCGACUUCUUUUUCUUCAGACAUGUCAAUUGAGAGCUCAUGCGUUUCAUCAGAGCCUGAAGAGACUUUGCAGUGCCCGAGCAGCCCGGAUUCCACAUCAAUGGUGCUCGUAGGGUGUCCUCGAUGCCUCAUGUACGUCAUGUUAUCCGAGGUGGAUCCAAAAUGCCCGAAAUGCAAGAGCACCGCGCUGCUUGAUUUCUUCAAAGAAGAAAACAGCAAGAAUAAUAGAGGGAACUGAGGAGAGAGUAGCAUGCCUUCCUUUCCUUGUUCUUCAUGGAGCACCUACUGGUCUAUGCUACCUUAAUUAGGCCUUUACUUUUUUUGCUUCUUUUUUUUUUUUUUUUUUUUUUUUUUUAAUUUUUUUACUUUUAAAUGUUUUUCUCCAUCUUCUGUUUUGUAUGUUGAGAUUUUUCUAUUAUUUACUCUCUUUUUUUCUUCUCUUUUGUGAAAUUUGGUUGCCUAUAAGACGAAGAAACGAGGUUAAAAAAAUAAAGGUUGUGCUAGGGUUUGAUUGUUUCAUAAAACACUUUUGUGAAUUUUCAUUUUCUUUCCUACGUCUUCUCCGCAACCAAACAUAAUCAUCUUAUUCUUAUACUUAUAAUUAAUGAUUAAUGA